rnacentral:rRNA from 1 species
AGAGUUUGAUCCUGGCUCAGGACGAACGCUGGCGGCGUGCCUAAUACAUGCAAGUCGAACGAACUCUGGUAUUGAUUGGUGCUUGCAUCAUGAUUUACAUUUGAGUGAGUGGCGAACUGGUGAGUAACACGUGGGAAACCUGCCCAGAAGCGGGGGAUAACACCUGGAAACAGAUGCUAAUACCGCAUAACAACUUGGACCGCAUGGUCCGAGUUUGAAAGAUGGCUUCGGCUAUCACUUCUGGAUGGUCCCGCGGCGUAUUAGCUAGAUGGUGAGGUAACGGCUCACCAUGGCAAUGAUACGUAGCCGACCUGAGAGGGUAAUCGGCCACAUUGGGACUGAGACACGGCCCAAACUCCUACGGGAGGCAGCAGUAGGGAAUCUUCCACAAUGGACGAAAGUCUGAUGGAGCAACGCCGCGUGAGUGAAGAAGGGUUUCGGCUCGUAAAACUCUGUUGUUAAAGAAGAACAUAUCUGAGAGUAACUGUUCAGGUAUUGACGGUGUUUAACCAGAAAGCCACGGCUAACUACGUGCCAGCAGCCGCGGUAAUACGUAGGUGGCAAGCGUUGUCCGGAUUUAUUGGGCGUAAAGCGAGCGCAGGCGGUUUUUUAAGUCUGAUGUGAAAGCCUUCGGCUCAACCGAAGAAGUGCAUCGGAAACUGGGAAACUUGAGUGCAGAAGAGGACAGUGGAACUCCAUGUGUAGCGGUGAAAUGCGUAGAUAUAUGGAAGAACACCAGUGGCGAAGGCGGCUGUCUGGUCUGUAACUGACGCUGAGGCUCGAAAGUAUGGGUAGCAAACAGGAUUAGAUACCCUGGUAGUCCAUACCGUAAACGAUGAAUGCUAAGUGUUGGAGGGUUUCCGCCCUUCAGUGCUGCAGCUAACGCAUUAAGCAUUCCGCCUGGGGAGUAC